CUACGGAGGGUGCAAGCGUUAAUCGGAAUUACUGGGCGUAAAGAGUACGUAGGUGGUUUGUUAAGUCAGAUGUGAAAGCCCCGGGCUCAACCUGGGAACUGCAUUUGAAACUGGCAAACUAGAGUAUGGUAGAGGGGGGUAGAAUUUCUAGUGUAGCGGUGAAAUGCGUAGAUAUUAGAAGGAAUACCAGUGGCGAAGGCGGCCCCCUGGACCAAUACUGACACUGAGGUACGGAAGCGUGGGUAGCGAACAGGAUUAGAAACCCUAGUAGUCC
rnacentral:rRNA from 1 species